GGAGGAGGCUGGAUAUAAUAAAAUUGAUCACCUUUGUAGUAAUUGCAAAGUAAACUGCUUGAAUAAUUAGAUCAUAUCAAUGACUAAUAAUGAGCAGAAUAAUAUAAGAAGAUGUGGUAUGAGUGCCAAUAAGAAAACUCUCCAUCUAAGUCACUAUUCGUAAAAGUAAACCAUCAUAGGCCGAAUUACGGUCUUCAACACGGAGCAUUGGCUCACACUAAACAACAAACUAUAAAGGUCCCCAAAAACGAUAUCCAAGUUACUACUAGUAUAUAUAUUACAAAGAAAAUUGAGUAAAUUGAGGUUAUACCUAAGAAAAAAAUCAACCCUGCUAAUAUAGCUAUAACCGAAUAUAAAUAUACUUCCAAAGUAAGCUCUCGUUUGAGAACUGUGUAAAGUAGGUUACAUUCAAACAAGCUACCCUUUGGCAAUAAAUGUAUAGAAUGA
rnacentral:lncRNA from 1 species